rnacentral:rRNA from 1 species
AAAAUUUUUUCAUUKWGAAUWCAUUCGAAUUCUUUUGAACGCACAUUGCGCCCCCUGGUAUUCCGGGGGGCAUGCCUGUUCGAGCGUCAUUUCACCACUCAAGCCUCGCUUGGUAUUGGGCAACGCGGUCCGCCGCGUGCCUCAAAUCGACCGGCUGGGUCUUCUGUCCCCUAAGCGUUGUGGAAACUAUUCGCUAAAGGGUGCUCGGGAGGCUACGCCGUAAAACAAACCCAUUUCUAAGGUUGACCUCGGAUCAGGUAGGGAUACCCGCUGAACUUAAGCAUAUCAAUAAGCGGAGGAAMU